UCUCAUAUAAUGGUAUCCAUGACAAUGAAUUUUCAGAUUUUUAUGUCAGAUAGACAUCGUUCAUCGAAUCAAUAAUUUUAUGAAACAUAUUUAUUUGUAUACCUUUACAUUACGUAUAUAAUAGUCUAACUAUUGUAUUAAUUAGAAAUCAAUGUCUUGAGGAAAUGUCUUCUAGGGAUGAUGGCCCAAAUGAAAAUUCUUCCCAAGCUGAAAAAGUAUUUCCAAUCCAGCUAAUCCAGGAAACGAAACUCUCUAAAGAAAAUGAAAAAUUCGAAAAAAAAGAUAAAAUAAAGAGUACGUUAGUCGAUGGGACCAAGGAACAAUCUCAAUCCUCAUCGCAAAAUGAGAAAACGGUAGAGACCGUAUACGCAGGUGUGUCAACCCCAUCACCCGUGAGCAUAUCUCAAAAAGCAAAAGAGCAAACCAACAUAGAGGAUGAUCCUUGUAUAAAGAAAGAGAUAAAGGAAGAAGUAAUCAUACAUAGAUUUAAAACACCUGGUUUGGAUCCAAGGUUUCAGCAGCAGAAUCAAACAAUGAGAUGCUACGUUAUGUACACAGACUUCUAUCGAUGCGAGAAGAUCCUUGGAGAAGGUGCAGAGGCUUGUGUCUGGUUCAAGGAAGUUUUCACUUCUAUAUGUCCUACAGAUUGGAUACGCCGUUGGGAUGAGCACAGAGCCGAAGGUCGUUUUCCCUGGUUUCGCUAUAAAUCGCAGGGAAAGUUUCCUGGUGACAGAUACGGCGACGUUUGAAAAGUGGAGAAUCCUUCCCCAUUCUAAGGGAUGUCCUGACAUCCAAUGCAUGUCCUAAUCAAUUUUCUAAUAAAGUAGAAUCUACCUCAAUAGUAUAGCUAUGGUACAAGAAGAUUAUAAUUAUGAGGUAUAUAUGUAACGUAUGAAAAUUGAAAGGAUCUCUCUGAACACCUUGCAUCCUUUGAUUCUUGCGACGUCCA